rnacentral:misc_RNA from 1 species
GACGUAGGUGGCAAGCGUUGUUCGGAAUCACUGGGCAUAAAGCGCGUGUAGGCGGCCGGGUAAGUCGGGUGUGAAAUCCCUCAGCUCAACUGAGGAACUGCGCCCGAUACUGCUUGGCUUGAGGACCGGAGGGGAGAGUGGAAUUCCCGGUGGAGCGGUGAAAUGCGUAGAGAUCGGGAAGAACGCCGGCGGCGAAAGCGACUCUCUGGUCGGUUCCUGACGCUGAGACGCGAAAGCUAGGGGAGCAAACGGG